rfam:Ophiocordyceps sinensis CO18 unplaced genomic scaffold OCS_Scf_34, whole genome shotgun sequence.
ACAUACGGCCAUAGUAUCGUAAAUAAUAUCCAUCCCGUCCGAUCUGGCACAUAUAAGCACGAUAACGGCAGAUUAGUAGUUGGGUCGGUGACGACCAGCGAACACCGGCUGCUGUAUGUU